GAUAAUUGGACAGAGCGAGACAGGCACCGGGGUAAGAGAAAUACCGGGCCAGAGCGAGACAGACACCGGGGUAAGAGAGAUACCAGGACAGAGCGAGACAGACACCGGGGUAAGAGAGAUACCGGGACAGAGCGACACAGACACCGGGGUAAGAGAGAUACCGGGACAGAGCAAGACAGACACCGGGGUAAGGGAGGUAAUUGGACAGAGUGAGACAGUCACUGGGAUAAGGUUGGUACUGAGACAGGUACUGGGACAGGAUGAGAUAUCAACACACUACCUUUCAACCUUUUUUGUUGGUAAAGCUACAUUUACACCUGUGUAAGAGUUGAUUCCAUACUGUGUGCAUCCCAUAUUUCAACUUUCACAGACAGGUUACCUUGAAUAUGUAGUAGUUGCAGAAUAUUCAUUAGUGAUCUUCCAAUAAAUCUCUGCUUAUAUUGGUGUUUACAGAGACGAUUUUCAAGAUGCCAGAGGUGAAAUCCAUGUUUCAUGAGGUGCUUCCUAAACAAGGUGAAAUACUAUCAAAUAUUCAUAAGUCUAUAGGGAAUUUAUAUCCCGAUUGUAACUUUUGUGAAUAACUUUAACUAGUUAUAGUGUCUAAUUUAGGCUUCAGACUGUUAACCAUAAAAUGCACAUUGAUGCACAAGAUUACAAGUUGUCAUAUGACAGGCUUGGUUUUAUUUUUCUAUUUAUUUAAAAUAAUGCUCAAACACUAAUAUAUUUAUGCAGAUAAUGCAUAAAUAUAAAUAUCCUGCAAUGGCCCGGCUUUCCCAGAGAUCUCCUGCUUCUUCAGCAACAUCCAUUGACGCAAGGAGCUGGGUGAGAUCUCUCAACCAACACUCCCCCCUCCGUAUUGGUUUUCUAGGUUCCUGUUACUUUAUAAAUAUGAAGUAUUAUUUCUUCUAACCAAUGUGGCUUCAAGUCUUCUAAUUCUGUUUUCGAUGUGUCCUUUCAUAGGACAGCUGUGUGUGGAGGAUCUCCCCACAAUGGUCUUAUGCAAACCAAAGUUGCUGCCUCUGAAAUCAGUGACCCUUGCCAAACUGGAAAAGAUGCAACGUGAUGCCCAGAACACUAUUCGCCAGCAGGAACUUGCUCAGAGCGAGCAACCCUUGAACCAGUCCUAAGAAUCUUGAUUGGUUCAUGUAAGAUGGUCGGAAUAUAGGCACAAAUUGAGCAGAAUGUUUAGUGAGAGUAAUGUGCUGCAUUAAUCGGUACAGGCAGUGUAAGAACUUCUAUUUUGCAAUCCCACCCUGAGAAAAUAAUUGCCCCAAAAGAUGAAAACACAAUAUUCUUUUCUUCUAAACUAUUCUUGUGAGACCUGUAUAGUACACUGCAAACCCACGCUUUGCUUAGUCUUCUAGCAUUCAGUUUAAAGUAUGUCUGUUUUAAAAGGGGUGCCUGCUUCUUGAUCACAUCACUAGAGCAAUUUAUGCACUUUGUAUUUAUACCUUAAUAAAGAGCAUUAAGAUGAAAAAUAA